AGCAGUGUGGAAUUUUGGACAAUGGGGGAAACCCUGAUCCAGCCAUACGGCGUGAGUGAAGAAGGCCUUCGGGUGGUAAAGCUCUUUCAGCCGGAAGAAAAAACACUUCGGUUAAUACCUGGCGUUGAUGACGGUACCCCAAGAAGAAGCACCGGCUAAAUACGUGCCAGCAGCCGCGGUAAUACGUAGGGUGCGAGCGUUUUUUGGAAUUAUUGGGCGUAAAGGGUGCGCAGGCGGCUUUUUAAGUCAGAUGUGAAAUCCCCGGGCUUAACCUGGGAAAUGCAUUUGGAACUGUAUGGCUUGAGUGUAGCAGAGGGGGGUAGAAUUCCCCGUGUAGCAGUGAAAUGCGUAGAUAUUUGGAGGAAUACCGAUGGCGAAGGCAGCCCCCUGGGCUAACACUGACGCUCAUGCACGAAAGCGUGGGGAGCAAACAGGAUUAGAUACCCUGGUAGUCCACGCCCUAAACGAAGUCACCUAGUUUUUGGGGAAGGAAACCUCUUUAGUGCCGCAGCUAACGCGAUAAGU
rnacentral:rRNA from 1 species